AGUCCGACGCGAAAGCCCCUUCGGGGGCAAGUAGAGUGGCGCACGAGUGAGUAACACGUAGGUAAUCUACCUUUGGAUGGGGAAUAACAACCGGAAACGGUUGCUAAUACCGCAUAAUGCAGCGGCACCUAAUGGUGACAGUUGUUAAAGCGGGGGAUCGAAAGACCUCGCGUCUGAAGAGGAGCCUGCGGCGGAUUAGCUAGUUGGUAAGGUAACGGCUUACCAAGGCGAUGAUCCGUAGCCGGCCUGAGAGGGCGGUCGGCCACACUGACACUGACAUACGGGUCAGACUCCUACGGGAGGCAGCAGUCGGGAAUUUUGGGCAAUGGGCGAAAGCCUGACCCAGCAACGCCGCGUGAAGGAUGAAAUCCUUUGGGAUGUAAACUUCGCAAGAACGGGAAGAAUAAGUAAGAGCUAACAUCUCUUACGAUGACGGUACUGUUUGUAAGCUCCGGCUAACUCCGUGCCAGCAGCCGCGGUAAUACGGGGGGAGCAAGCGUUGUUCGGAUUUACUGGGCGUAAAGGGCGCGUAGGCGGCCACGACAAGUCACUUGUGAAAUCUCCGGGCUUAACUCGGAACGGUCAAGUGAUACUGUCGGGCUAGAGUGCAGAAGGGGCAACUGGAAUUCUCGGUGUAGCGGUGAAAUGCGUAGAUAUCGAGAGGAACACCUGCGGCGAAGGCGGGUUGCUGGGCUGACACUGACGCUGAGGCGCGAAAGCCA
rnacentral:rRNA from 1 species